GUCGAGCGAACAGACGAGGAGCUUGCUCCUCUGACGUUAGCGGCGGACGGGUGAGUAACACGUGGAUAACCUACCUAUAAGACUGGGAUAACUUCGGGAAACCGGAGCUAAUACCGGAUAAUAUAUUGAACCGCAUGGUUCAAUAGUGAAAGACGGUUUUGCUGUCACUUAUAGAUGGAUCCGCGCCGCAUUAGCUAGUUGGUAAGGUAACAGCUUACCAAGGCAACGAUGCGUAGCCGACCUGAGAGGGUGAUCGGCCACACUGGAACUGAGACACGGUCCAGACUCCUACGGGAGGCAGCAGUAGGGAAUCUUCCGCAAUGGGCGAAAGCCUGACGGAGCAACGCCGCGUGAGUGAUGAAGGUCUUCGGAUCGUAAAACUCUGUUAUUAGGGAAGAACAAAUGUGUAAGUAACUAUGCACGUCUUGACGGUACCUAAUCAGAAAGCCACGGCUAACUACGUGCCAGCAGCCGCGGUAAUACGUAGGUGGCAAGCGUUAUCCGGAAUUAUUGGGCGUAAAGCGCGCGUAGGCGGUUUUUUAAGUCUGAUGUGAAAGCCCACGGCUCAACCGUGGAGGGUCAUUGGA
rnacentral:rRNA from 1 species